AGAUGUGAGGGUGAUCUUACUGCAAUAUCUAUCAUCCCAUUGAUCACCCAGGGUGAUUUAGCUGAUCUGGCUGCCUAGGAAGCUGUUCCAUUUGACCCUCUUUGUUCUUUGUGUCCCUCCUGAAGCCAUGCCCUUUCUGGAUGAAGCAGGAUGACCUUCCCCAAUGGAGGUGUCUGGUCAAGUGUAUGAAAGUAGCUGUGUCCCCUUCUAGCCUCUGCAAACAAACUCUGACAAAUACCCUCCAAAUGAUACUUAGAAUUAAACAUAUAAAUCUUAGCUUU
rnacentral:snRNA from 1 species